rnacentral:rRNA from 1 species
CCUACGGGUGGCAGCAGUGGGGAAUAUUGGACAAUGGGGGCAACCCUGAUCCAGCCAUGCCGCGUGUGUGAAGAAGGCCCUCGGGUUGUAAAGCACUUUCAGUGAGGAAGGACGCCUGGUGGUUAAUACCCAUCAGGAAAGACAUCACUCACAGAAGAAGCACCGGCUAACUCCGUGCCAGCAGCCGCGGUAAUACGGAGGGUGCGAGCGUUAAUCGGAAUUACUGGGCGUAAAGCGCGCGUAGGUGGCUUGAUAAGCCGGUUGUGAAAGCCCCGGGCUCAACCUGGGAACGGCAUCCGGAACUGUCAAGCUAGAGUGCAGGAGAGGAAGGUAGAAUUCCCGGUGUAGCGGUGAAAUGCGUAGAGAUCGGGAGGAAUACCAGUGGCGAAGGCGGCCUUCUGGACUGACACUGACACUGAGGUGCGAAAGCGUGGGUAGCAAACAGGAUUAGAUACCCUAGUAGUC